GGUCUGUCCCCUACGGAAAAAUUCAGCAUAACCAUAACAUAACUUGGAGCGGAUAUUGAAGGUUCGUCGCAAGAGACUGAACGCUCCCUCCAAAAGUUUGAACACCUGUAGUCUACCCUGUCAGGUGACUGGAUCCAACCUUGAUACAAGAGAGUAGCAGUUACAUACAUCUUAGGUUGAAAAGAAAGGCUAAACAGGGUCAAGUGAG
rnacentral:lncRNA from 1 species